UACGUAGGGGGCAAGCGUUAUCCGGAUUUACUGGGCGUAAAGGGAGCGUAGACGGCGGUGCAAGCCAGAUGUGAAAGCCCGGGGCUCAACCCCGGCCCGCCGUUGAAACUGGCAGUCUCGAGUUGGAGAGAAGUAUGCGGAAUGCGCGGUGUAGCGGUGAAAUGCAUAGAUAUCGCGCAGAACCCCGAUUGCGAAGGCAGCCUGCCGGCCCCACACUGACGCUGAGGCACGAAAGCGUGGGUAUCGAACAGG
rnacentral:rRNA from 1 species